GGGUUGUGAGGUUAAGCGACUAAGCGUACACGGUGGAUGCCCUGGCAGUCAGAGGCGAUGAAGGACGUGCUAAUCUGCGAUAAGCGUCGGUAAGGUGAUAUGAACCGUUAUAACCGGCGAUUUCCGAAUGGGGAAACCCAGUGUGAUUCGUCACACUAUCAUUAACUGAAUCCAUAGGUUAAUGAGGCGAACCGGGGGAACUGAAACAUCUAAGUACCCCGAGGAAAAGAAAUCAACCGAGAUUCCCCCAGUAGCGGCGAGCGAACGGGGAGCAGCCCAGAGCCUGAAUCAGUGUGUGUGUUAGUGGAAGCGUCUGGAAAGGCGCGCGAUACAGGGUGACAGCCCCGUACACAAAAAUGCACAUGCUGUGAGCUCGAUGAGUAGGGCGGGACACGUGGUAUCCUGUCUGAAUAUGGGGGGACCAUCCUCCAAGGCUAAAUACUCCUGACUGACCGAUAGUGAACCAGUACCGUGAGGGAAAGGCGAAAAGAACCCCGGCGAGGGGAGUGAAAAAGAACCUGAAACCGUGUACGUACAAGCAGUGGGAGCACGCUUAGGCGUGUGACUGCGUACCUUUUGUAUAAUGGGUCAGCGACUUAUAUUCUGUAGCAAGGUUAACCGAAUAGGGGAGCCGAAGGGAAACCGAGUCUUAACUGGGCGUUAAGUUGCAGGGUAUAGACCCGAAACCCGGUGAUCUAGCCAUGGGCAGGUUGAAGGUUGGGUAACACUAACUGGAGGACCGAACCGACUAAUGUUGAAAAAUUAGCGGAUGACUUGUGGCUGGGGGUGAAAGGCCAAUCAAACCGGGAGAUAGCUGGUUCUCCCCGAAAGCUAUUUAGGUAGCGCCUCGUGAAUUCAUCUCCGGGGGUAGAGCACUGUUUCGGCAAGGGGGUCAUCCCGACUUACCAACCCGAUGCAAACUGCGAAUACCGGAGAAUGUUAUCACGGGAGACACACGGCGGGUGCUAACGUCCGUCGUGAAGAGGGAAACAACCCAGACCGCCAGCUAAGGUCCCAAAGUCAUGGUUAAGUGGGAAACGAUGUGGGAAGGCCCAGACAGCCAGGAUGUUGGCUUAGAAGCAGCCAUCAUUUAAAGAAAGCGUAAUAGCUCACUGGUCGAGUCGGCCUGCGCGGAAGAUGUAACGGGGCUAAACCAUGCACCGAAGCUGCGGCAGCGACGCUGAUGCGUUGUUGGGUAGGGGAGCGUUCUGUAAGCCUGUGAAGGUGUGCUGUGAGGCAUGCUGGAGGUAUCAGAAGUGCGAAUGCUGACAUAAGUAACGAUAAAGCGGGUGAAAAGCCCGCUCGCCGGAAGACCAAGGGUUCCUGUCCAACGUUAAUCGGGGCAGGGUGAGUCGACCCCUAAGGCGAGGCCGAAAGGCGUAGUCGAUGGGAAACAGGUUAAUAUUCCUGUACUUGGUGUUACUGCGAAGGGGGGACGGAGAAGGCUAUGUUGGCCGGGCGACGGUUGUCCCGGUUUAAGCGUGUAGGCUGGUUUUCCAGGCAAAUCCGGAAAAUCAAGGCUGAGGCGUGAUGACGAGGCACUACGGUGCUGAAGCAACAAAUGCCCUGCUUCCAGGAAAAGCCUCUAAGCAUCAGGUAACAUCAAAUCGUACCCCAAACCGACACAGGUGGUCAGGUAGAGAAUACCAAGGCGCUUGAGAGAACUCGGGUGAAGGAACUAGGCAAAAUGGUGCCGUAACUUCGGGAGAAGGCACGCUGAUAUGUAGGUGAAGUCCCUCGCGGAUGGAGCUGAAAUCAGUCGAAGAUACCAGCUGGCUGCAACUGUUUAUUAAAAACACAGCACUGUGCAAACACGAAAGUGGACGUAUACGGUGUGACGCCUGCCCGGUGCCGGAAGGUUAAUUGAUGGGGUCAGCGCAAGCGAAGCUCUUGAUCGAAGCCCCGGUAAACGGCGGCCGUAACUAUAACGGUCCUAAGGUAGCGAAAUUCCUUGUCGGGUAAGUUCCGACCUGCACGAAUGGCGUAAUGAUGGCCAGGCUGUCUCCACCCGAGACUCAGUGAAAUUGAACUCGCUGUGAAGAUGCAGUGUACCCGCGGCAAGACGGAAAGACCCCGUGAACCUUUACUAUAGCUUGACACUGAACAUUGAGCCUUGAUGUGUAGGAUAGGUGGGAGGCUUUGAAGUGUGGACGCCAGUCUGCAUGGAGCCG
rnacentral:rRNA from 1 species